AGUGAACGCUGGCGGUAGGCCUAACACAUGCAAGUCGAACGGCAGCACAGUAAGAGCUUGCUCUUACGGGUGGCGAGUGGCGGACGGGUGAGGAAUACAUCGGAAUCUACUUUUUCGUGGGGGAUAACGUAGGGAAACUUACGCUAAUACCGCAUACGACCUACGGGUGAAAGCAGGGGAUCUUCGGACCUUGCGCGAUUGAAUGAGCCGAUGCCGGAUUAGCUAGUUGGCGGGGUAAAGGCCCACCAAGGCGACGAUCCGUAGCUGGUCUGAGAGGAUGAUCAGCCACACUGGAACUGAGACACGGUCCAGACUCCUACGGGAGGCAGCAGUGGGGAAUAUUGGACAAUGGGCGCAAGCCUGAUCCAGCCAUACCGCGUGGGUGAAGAAGGCCUUCGGGUUGUAAAGCCCUUUUGUUGGGAAAGAAAAGCAGCAGGUUAAUACCCCGCUGUUCUGACGGUACCCAAAGGAUAAGCACCGGCUAACUUCGUG
rnacentral:rRNA from 1 species